GGCUCAAUGGUCCAGUGGUAAGAUACUCGCUUCGGGUUAGCUAUAUGCUAUAUUCCCGAUCUCUUCAAGAGAUUGAAAUUGUGAGUGGUCCCGGGUUCGAAUCCCGGUUGAGCCC